CUGAUCAGGAGAGGGACCUACCCGGUUACCAAACCCAGUCAAACUCCGAAUGGCUGCAAUCAUACCUGGGAGUCAGACUGCGACUAAUAAGGGCCGCAGUCAAAAGGGAAACAGCCCAGACCAUCAGCUAAGGUCCCCAAUGCCGUGCUAAGUGGCGAAGGAUGUGGCAUUUCAUAAACAACCAGGAUGUUGGCUCAGAAGCAGCCACCAUUUAAAGAGUGCGUAAUAGCUCACUGGUCGAGAGACCCUGCGCCGAAGAUUCCCGGGGCUAAAGUACGAAACCGAAGCUGUGGCUGUAUACGUAAAGUAUACGGGGUAGGGGAGCGUUCCCAUAGGGUAGAAGUCGAACUGGAAGGUUCGGUGGACUUGUGGGAAGUGAGAAUGUUGGUAUGAGUAGCGAAAAGAAAGGUGAGAAUCCUUUCCACCGAAAGCAUAAGGAUUCCUGAGCAACGAUCGUCGUCUCAGGGUAAGUCGGGACCUAAUCCGAGGCAGAGAGCGUAGGAGAUGGACAACUGGUUGAUAUUCCAGUACCGGUAGUAAUUGUUUGAGCAAUGGAGUGACACAGAAGGGCAGGCAAGCAUGCGAAUGGAAGAGCAUGUGUAAGCGUGUAGGGUGGUGCAUAGGCAAAUCCGUGCACUGAAAGCCUGAGGCGUGAUGCGGAGUGAGCAGAGAUGCGAGCGAAGUUGUUGACCCCACACUGUCGAGAAAAGCUUCUAGUGAGAGAGCUACCGCCCGUACCGUAAACCGACACAGGUAUGCGGGGAGAGAAUCCUAAGGUGCGCGGGAGAACCCUCGUUAAGGAACUCGGCAAAAUGUACCCGUAACUUCGGGAUAAGGGUAGCCACUGUUGUGAAGUCCCAUGCGGAUGGAGCAUAGAGUGGUCGCAGAGAAGAGGCCCAAGCGACUGUUUACCAUAAACACAGGUGCCUGCUAAAGCGAAAGCUGACGUAUAGGUGCUGACACCUGCCCAGUGCCGGAAGGUUAAGGAAGGAUGUUCGGAUUAGUCCAAAGCAUUCGACUGAAGCCCCGGUGAACGGCGGCCGUAACUAUAACGGUCCUAAGGUAGCGAAAUUCCUUGUCGGGUAAG
rnacentral:rRNA from 1 species